GGGAAAUCAGUAUUUGCAAAACCAUUAUAGAGGUUGAAGAUCCAAGUUUGAAAUGUAUACCCUCUUACGACAAUCAAAUGAGUCAAGACAUUUGUUCCAUUAUUGAAACAAGAUAAAAGAACUAUAGUGUGGCAAAAGGAAUAAAAUAUGAAACACAUUUAUAUAAAUUAAUACAAUAUGAUAUAUAGAUAUUAUUUUAUUAAUUGAAAUUCGUUGUGAAACAAAGUUAUGUAAAACUAUAGUUGAAUGAAUGUGUAUUUCAUACAAUAUUAAGAUAUUUAUAAAUUGGCACUAAAACAAAAUUUGUAUCAAUGCUUCAAAUAAACAAGAAACAUCCCACUGUCUCUAGAUCCAGUGUACCGGUACAUGUACAUCCAUGUCACUGAUCACUAGUCAAACUGUCAUUUACACUGCUGUAUGAUGUUCCACUAAUAGUCAACGCUGACUAACAUCUUGAUCAACCAUUUUGUUGAUCAAUAAAGAAAUUAAGUUAUUGCACAUUUAGAAUGUGAAAAUACAGAUUUGUCAUUUUACAAAUGAAAAAUAAAUUAGAAAAAUAUAAGCAUAAGAAAAUUAUGUAUAUUAUUCGUGUAUACUGUAAACUAAUUUUUAUUCGCAGCAACUUUAUUUCGCGAUUAACUGUCAAUAAACUAGUUCACGACGACUAAUGUUCGUGACCAAGCCUUAUCUAGACCUGUAUUGUUUUUAAAACUAUAGACAAAGGAUUGGUUCACGUCGAGAAAUAUUCGAGACGACAAGGCUCUCGCUAACCUCGCAAAAUUUUCUCGCACGCAAAUAAAAGUUGGUUUACAGUAUCCCGCAUGGAAAAAAUUGUCUGCUUUACAAAUCUAUAUACCUGAAUUUGAAUAAGCUAAAAAUGUUUUUAUCAUUUUUGUGACUUUUACAAUAUACACGUGGAAUAAAUAAAUAUGUAUAUAGUACUU
rnacentral:sRNA from 1 species